GAGUUUGAUCAUGGCUCAGGAUGAACGCUAGCGGCAGGCCUAAUACAUGCAAGUCGAACGGCAGCACGGUGUAGCAAUACAUUGGUGGCGAGUGGCGCACGGGUGCAUAACACGUAUGUAAUUUGCCCAUAACUGGGAGAUAGCCUUCCGAAAGGAAGAUUAAUACCCCAUAACCCAGCGAGGUGGCAUCACUUUUCUGGUAAAGCUCCGGCGGUUAUGGAUAAGCAUGCGUCCGAUUAGCUAGUUGGCGAGGUAAAAGCUCACCAAGGCAACGAUCGGUAGGGGGUCUGAGAGGAUGAUCCCCCACACGGGUACUGAGACACGGACCCGACUCCUACGGGAGGCAGCAGUAAGGAAUAUUGGACAAUGGAGGCAACUCUGAUCCAGCCAUGCCGCGUGAAGGAUGAAGGCGCUACGCGUUGUAAACUUCUUUUCUACUAGAAAAAACAUUUGGUUUCGUACCGAAUCUGAUUGUACAGUAGGAAUAAGCAUCGGCUAACUUCGU
rnacentral:rRNA from 1 species